UCUAUGCACUCUGCAUCGUCUCAUCUCCUUCCCCAUCUAUGUCAGUUCAUGCUUUUGUUUGUUUGAUCAUGCAUGCUUAAUUUCUUGAUUUCUUCAGGAUGCCGAUGCGUGUAAACCGUUGGGCGUUGGCUACUUGGUUUCACUGGCCCCAUCUGAGGCCGGCUAUUAGAUUCACAUAUCAUCAGACAACAUAUACUGAGAAAAGAGCCUGGGACAUUUAUUCAUUUCAGGUCAUGUUCCUUUGAACACUACUUGUAAUUGGUGAAAGCUGGACAAUGAUGAAGACCAUAAGUGUUACCCAAUAUAUAAAUUAUGAAGCAGUGCUGCCAUUGCCCGCAGAAUCUUCUUAUUUGCAAACUUUGAAGGCGUGUACUGUUGACUGAAAUGUUAUUAUAUUGCUGGCAUCCUUCCUUUGUUACACAACAAUACAAG